rnacentral:rRNA from 1 species
UACAGAGGUGGCAAGCGUUGUUCGGAAUUACUGGGCGUAAAGGGCGCGUAGGCGGUCCGAUAAGUCCCGUGUGAAAGCCCCCGGCUCAACUGGGGAACUGCACGGGAAACUGACGGACUUGAGUUCGGGAGAGGGAAGCGGAAUUCCGGGUGUAGCGGUGAAAUGCGUAGAUAUCUGGAGGAACACCGGUGGCGAAGGCGGCAUCCUGGACCGGUAUUGACGCUGAGGCGCGAAAGCCAGGGGAGCAAACGGG